UGGAAGAGGAGCACGUUAGGAACCACGAGGCGCUAAUGAUUCCUGGGUGCAGCCCAGUUCGGUUUGAGGACACCUUUGAACCGGUACUAGACCGAAAUAAUCAGAUGUACAUCGAGUACAUACGCAUGGGGUUUGAGAUGCCGACGGCUGACGGUAUUUUGGUGAAUACAUGGCAGGAUCUUGAGCCCAAAACGCUUGGUGCACUUGGAGGC
rnacentral:misc_RNA from 1 species